GAUGAACGCUGGCGGCGUGCCUAAUACAUGCAAGUCGAGCGAACGGACGAGAAGCUUGCUUCUCUGAUGUUAGCGGCGGACGGGUGAGUAACACGUGGAUAACCUACCUAUAAGACUGGGAUAACUUCGGGAAACCGGAGCUAAUACCGGAUAAUAUUUUGAACCGCAUGGUUCAAAAGUGAAAGACGGUCUUGCUGUCACUUAUAGAUGGAUCCGCGCUGCAUUAGCUAGUUGGUAAGGUAACGGCUUACCAAGGCAACGAUGCAUAGCCGACCUGAGAGGGUGAUCGGCCACACUGGAACUGAGACACGGUCCAGACUCCUACGGGAGGCAGCAGUAGGGAAUCUUCUGCAAUGGGCGAAAGCCUGACGGAGCAACGCCGCGUGAGUGAUGAAGGUCUUCGGAUCGUAAAACUCUGUUAUUAGGGAAGAACAUAUGUGUAAGUAACUGUGCACAUCUUGACGGUACCUAAUCAGAAAGCCACGGCUAACUACGUGCCAGCAGCCGCGGUAAUACGUAGGUGGCAAGCGUUAUCCGGAAUUAUUGGGCGUAAAGCGCGCGUAGGCGGUUUUUUAAGUCUGAUGUGAAAGCCCACGGCUCAACCGUGGAGGGUCAUUGGAAACUGGAAAACUUGAGUGCAGAAGAGGAAAGUGGAAUUCCAUGUGUAGCGGUGAAAUGCGCAGAGAUAUGGAGGAACACCAGUGGCGAAGGCGACUUUCUGGUCUGUAACUGACGCUGAUGUGCGAAAGCGUGGGGAUCAAACAGGAUUAGAUACCCUGGUAGUCCACGCCGUAAACGAUGAGUGCUAAGUGUUAGGGGGUUUCCGCCCCUUAGUGCUGCAGCUAACGCAUUAAGCACUCCGCCUGGGGAGUACGACCGCAAGGUUGAAACUCAAAGGAAUUGACGGGGACCCGCACAAGCGGUGGAGCAUGUGGUUUAAUUCGAAGCAACGCGAAGAACCUUACCAAAUCUUGACAUCCUUUGACAACUCUAGAGAUAGAGCCUUCCCCUUCGGGGGACAAAGUGACAGGUGGUGCAUGGUUGUCGUCAGCUCGUGUCGUGAGAUGUUGGGUUAAGUCCCGCAACGAGCGCAACCCUUAAGCUUAGUUGCCAUCAUUAAGUUGGGCACUCUAAGUUGACUGCCGGUGACAAACCGGAGGAAGGUGGGGAUGACGUCAAAUCAUCAUGCCCCUUAUGAUUUGGGCUACACACGUGCUACAAUGGACAAUACAAAGGGCAGCGAAACCGCGAGGUCAAGCAAAUCCCAUAAAGUUGUUCUCAGUUCGGAUUGUAGUCUGCAACUCGACUACAUGAAGCUGGAAUCGCUAGUAAUCGUAGAUCAGCAUGCUACGGUGAAUACGUUCCCGGGUCU
rnacentral:rRNA from 1 species